AGGGCCAACCUUUUUAGAGUUUUUGUUCAGCUCAGAGUGAACGCUGGCGGUAGGCCUAACAACAUGCAAGUCGAACGGCAGCACAGGAGAGCUUGCUCUCUGGGUGGCGAGUGGCGGACGGGAUGAGGAAUACAUCGGAAUCUACUUUUUCGUGGGGGAUAACGUAGGGAAACUUACGCUAAUAACCGCAUACGACCUACGGGUGAAAGCAGGGGAUCUUCGGACCUUGCGCGAUUGAAUGAGCACGAUGUCGGAUUAGCUAGUUGGCGGGGUAAAGGCCCACCAAGGCGACGAUCCGUAGCUGGAUCUGAGAGGAUGAUCAGCCACACUGGAACUGAGACACGGUCCAGACUCCUACGGGAGGCAAGCAGUGGGGAAUAUUGGACAAUGGGCGCAAGCCUGAUCCAGCCAUACCGCGUGGGUGAAGAAAGGCCUUCGGGUUGUAAAGCCCUUUUGUUGGGAAAGAAAUCCAGCUGGUUAAUACCCGGAUUGGGAUGACGGUACCCAAAGAAUAAGCACCGGCUAACUUCGUGCCAGCAGCCGCGGUAAAUACGAAGGGUGCAAGCGUUACUCGGAAUUACUGGGCGUAAAGCGUGCGUAGGUGGUCGUUACCUGGGAACUGCAGUGGAUACUGGGCGACUAUAAGUCCGUUGUGAAAGCCCUGGGCUCAACCUGGGAACUGCAGUGGAUACUGGGCGACUAAGAAUGUGGUAGAGGGUAGCGGAAUUCCUGGUGUAGCAGUGAAAUGCGUAGAGAUCAGGAGGAAUGUGGUAGAGGGUAGCGGAAUUCCUGGUGUAGCAGUGAAAUGCGUAGAGAUCAGGAGAGAACAUCCAUGGCGAAGGCAGCUACCUGGACCAACAUUGACACUGAGGCACGAAAGCGUGGAACAUCCAUGGCGAAGGCAGCUACCUGGACCAACAUGACACUGAGGCACGAAAGAAGGAGGGAGCAAACAGGAUUAGAUACCCUGGUAGUCCACGCCCUAAACGAUGCGAACUGGAUGUAUGGGUGCAAUUUGGCACGCAGUAUCGAAGCUAACGCGUUAAGUUCGCCGCCUGGGGAGUAACGGUCGCAAGACUGAAACUCAAAGGAAUUGACGGGGGCCCGCACAAGCGGUGGAGUAUGUAGGUUUAAUUCGAUGCAACGCGAAGAACCUUACCUGGCCUUGACAUGUCGAGAACUUUCCAAGAGAUGGAUUGGUGCCUUCGGGAACUCGAACACAGGUGCUGCAUGGCUGUCGUCAGCUCGAUGUCGUGAGAUGUUGGGUUAAGUCCCGCAACGAGCGCAACCCUUGUCCUUAGUUGCCAGCAACGUAAUGGUGGGAACUCUAAGGAGACCGCCGGUGACAAACCGGAGGAAGGUGGGGAUGAACGUCAAGUCAUCAUGGCCCUUACGGCCAGGGCUACACACGUACUACAAUGGUAGGGACAGAAGGGCUGCAAGCCGGCGACGGUAAGCCAAUCCCAGAAACCCUAUCUCAGUCCGGAUUGGAAGUCUGCAACUCGACUCCAUGAAGUCGGAAUCGCUAGUAAUCGCAGAUCAGCAUUGCUGCGAGUGAAUACGUUCCCGGGCCUUGUACACACCGCCCGUCACACCAUGGGAGUUUGUUGCACCAAGAAGCAGGUAGCUUAACCUUCGGGAGGGCGCUUGCCACGGUGUGGCCGAUGACUGGGGUAGAAGUCU
rnacentral:rRNA from 1 species